UUGCAUCUCCUCUUUCCUAUGUUUUAGUGUUCUUUCAUUGAUACAUGCAGUGUUUGAUUGUUGAUAUGGGUAAUUAUUGUGCCUUAUUGUUAUUGUUGAUCUGGGUAAUUAUUGUUGAUCAAGAUACUGGGUAAUUAUUGUUGAUAAGGAUAAUAGGUAGUAUUGUUUGAUCAAGAUAUGAGUGAUUAUUGUUGAUGAAGAUAUUAUGGGUAAUUAUUGUAUAUGAUUCUCUGUGGGGAGCGAUCGGUUUGGUUUUUGAUUUCUUGGCCAUCUCAGAAUAUUUGGGGAGCGUGUAGGAUUCUGGGAGUUCUCGACCUGCUCAGUUCGCAAUUAAUUCUGGUUUUUUUUUGCUAAUUUAUUGAUUCGUUACCGUUGUUUGCUUGAUCAGGUAUGGGUAAUGAUGAUAGGAGAAUGAUUCUCCUUCUACGCUUGCUGUUACCUUGUUAAUCUGAGGUUUUUGUUGUGAGAAUUGGUGUGUUGGUGUACAUUGUUUGUUGAAUCAGAAUAUGAGGAAUUGGAAAUUUGGCUCCCCGGAUCUUCUAUUCUAGUGGAGCUAUUAGUUUGGAUUUGAUAUCUUGACUUCCAUAUUUAAUGUUAGUUUUGAUGCUAAUCAUGUGUCUCCUCGCAUAAACUUCUUUUACCUUGUUAUUUGGUUUGGGCAUCUAGGUGCAAGUGGUUCUACAGGAACAAGUGGUUUUACCUUGCUUCGGUGUUUGUGGUCGGGAAAGAUGCAGCUGUUCCCAGGUCUGUAACUAUAGGUAUUGGAUUUUUCAGUUUCUCAAAGCUUUGUUCAAAACUGGUACGAUAUGGAAGUUCUCAGCUAUGAUAUUUCUUUUCACAAGUGUGUGUAGUGUGUUCUACUGCCAGUUUUAGUUGUUAGUUCAAAUGUUUGUGUUCUUUGAUGAUCCUGGUGUCUUUUAUGGUGUUAUGGGCACCGGAUAAAGUCAAAAGUCAAGUCUUAAUUUUGUUGUUAAUUGUUGAAUGAAUGUUUAGGCCACAUGGUGACAGUAAUAGGGGAUCAGUUUUGGAAACUUUAACUGCUUGUAUCCAGUAUGCAUUGCUGUGCACCUUGUUUCUUGGUCUUUUUGGUGCUUGCACUCCAAGAUGAUAUUGUUAGGCUUCGACCAAAAUGGGGGUUCUCAAUCUUGUCUCUUGCAUCUCUUGUGAUUUCUUAGGUGAUAUGGGUUUUGUCAGCUUUGAACUUUAACUGUUCCCUUCUUUGUUCCGCUUCCAUGAAGUUCUUGGUUCAGACGCGUAUGUUCUUUGAUGAUCCAAUUGAUGAGGUCUCUUAUGGUGAUGAGGUCUCUUACUCUCUUAUGGCUAUGGAUACCUGAUAAGUACUUGACCAAUGCUAGAUCUUUUGAUUGUGGCAUAAAAUACUUCUCUACUUUUGUUCUUUUAGCUACUUAUCUUCCUCUGCUUCUAUUUUUUUCGUUAUAACACUAAGUCUUUUCUUGGUUUGGUGACAUUGUUACGGCCGUUCAGAUUUGGAAAUUUCAAAGUUUGGUUAAUGAACAUGUGGCCAUUUGCCACCUUUUGGUCUUUUUGAUGCUUGCACUGCUAUCUGGAUAUUGCCCGGGGUUUUGACAAAAGGGGGUUUUCAGUUUCGUCUAUGGCAUAUCUAGUGGUUUGGGGUUCUUCAGAUUUGCUCUUGACUGUUCCCUUCUUUCUGUUCUUGCAGCUAUUGGUUAUACAGGGCAGUGAAUUAUACUAUUCUUUUCAUGGAGCGGUGUUUGUCCUUUUGUGUUGAGGUUUCUUUCUUUUAUGAGUAUCGAGAUUUUCGAUUCAGUUUUCUUCCCUAAUGGCUCCUUUGUCUUUGUCAAAACUGUUGUAUGGAAGUUUCACAACUAGGACAUUAUUUUUCACCGGGGUGUGGUUAUUUUGUUGCCAUGAAGUUUUUAGUCCCGACACUUGUGUUCUUCGAUGAUCUAAUUAAUGAGGUCUCCUAUGGCUAUGGACGCUUAAGUACUGGGCCAAUUCUAGAUUAUUUGAUAGUGGUGUAAAAUACUUCUACUCUUAAUUCUUCUAGCUACUCACUUAUCUUCUCUGGACGCUUAAGUACUCGGCCAAUUCUAGAUUAUUUGAUAGUGGUGUAAAAUACUUCUACUCUUAAUUCUUCUAGCUACUCACUUAUCUUCUCUGCUUUGAUAUUUUUUUCUUUAUUACACUAGUUUUUUCUGGUUUGAUGGAUGUUUAGAUCAUGUGGUGACAGUGUUAUGCACGUUCAGAUUUGGAAAUUUUAAAGCAUGAUUAACCAACAUGUGAUCCUCUGCCACCUUUUUUGGUCUUUUUGGUGCUUGACUGCAAUCUGGAUAUUGUGCGGUGCGGGCUUUGACGGUCUAUGGCAUCGCUAGUGAGUUGGGGUUCGUUUACAGGCAGUGAACUAUUCUUUUCAUUGAUCGGCCGUGUGUCUGUCUGUGUUGAGGUUUCUUUAAUUCAAGUCUUUUAUGAGUUUUGAGAUUUUUGAUUCAGUUUUCUUCUCUUAUGAAUCCCUUUCUGUUAUAAAAAAAUCUACUUUUGUAUGGAAGUUUCUCAAUUAAGACUAUUUUUCACCAGUGUGUCAACUAAGACAAUAUUUUUCACCAGUGUGUGGGGUGUUCUGCUGCCGUGAAAUUUUUAAUCCAGUCAUUAUAUUCUUUGAUGAUUCAAUUGAUGAGGUCUCCUAUGGCUAUGGACACUUGAUAAGUACUCGCCAAUUCUGGAUCUUUUGUUUUGAAGCGCAAUAAAGUCUCCUCUACUUUCUCGUCUUCUAGCUACAUAUAGUUUUUGCUGCCAUCUUCUUUUGGUUAUCACAACUUGUUUAUUUGGUUUUAUUUGGAUGGAUGUGUAGACUAUAUGGUGACAGUAAUAGAGGUUAAGAUUUUGGAGAUUUCAAAGGUUGAUAUCCAGUAUGGUGACAGUAAUAGAGGUUAAGAUUUUGGAGAUUUCAAAGGUUGAUAUCCAGUAUGGUAUCUCUGUGCCCUCUUGGUCCUUUUGGUUCUUGCACUGUAAUCUGGAUAUAUUGGUCGGGGCUUCAACAAAAGGGGCUCCAGUCUCUAUGGGCUCAGCAGCAGCUUCUUGGGCUGGGGGCCACCAGCUUGAGGCUGUUCCUUUUUUAAGUCUUGUCUAUAUGGCAUUUCUAGUGAUUUGUUAGAUGGUAUGGGUUUCGUCAGCUUUGGACUUGAUUGUACCCUUCUUUUUGUGCUUGCAGCCAUUGGGUCUGAGAGCAGUGAAUUAUUCUUUUCAUGGAGCGACUUUCUUUAUCCAUUUAUAAUGAGGUUUCCAUUGUUCAGGCUUUUAUGAGUUUUUUUGAUACUUUCAACUAAAUUAGUUUUUUUUUCAAUUAGUAUGUGUUGUAUUCUACUGGCAUUUUUUGUGUUCAGUCCAGAUACUUAUUUUCUUCAAUGAUCCAAUGAUGAGAUUCCGGAUGUUUGAUUGUUAUGGUCUAAUGGACACCUGACAAGUACUCAAUUUUGGAUCUUUUGAAAGCCUCGUAAAAUGGUCCUAUCUUUUGGUGUUCUUGCUGCUCAUCUUCUCUGCUACUACACUAGCUUGAUUUUGUUUGUUGGAUGGAUGUAUGGUGACAGUUGAGAGGAAUGAGACUUGGAAGAUUUUGAAGGUUGGUGUCCACUGUGCAUUCUCGUGCACCUGUUUCUUGGUUAUUGGUGUUUCACUACAGUCUGGAGAUUAUCCUUCGAAAGAAGGCGGUUCUCAAUCUUGUCUAGCAUUUGUAGUGAAUUCCUAGGUGGUAUGAGCUUCAACAACUUUGCACUUGCUGUUCCACACUUUCUGUUCUUGCAGCCAUUGGGUCUUAUAGUCAUAGAUUCUUCUUCUCAUGAAGCAGCCUGGUCUGUCAAUUUUAUGUUCAGGUUUCUUGGUUGAUGCUUUUGAGAUCUUCAAUUCAGUUUUCUUCCCUAAUCAGAAUGGUUCCCGUCUCCCUUGUCAACAUUGCUUCACUAGUGUGUAUUUUAUCGCCAUAUUUGUUUUUUAUUAAUCCAGAUGCUUAUGUUCUUUGGUGAUCCAACUGAUGAGAUCUCCAUGGUCAUGGACAACACAUGAUAAGUGUAGCCAAACUCAAUCGUGGAUCUUUUGAUGGCCCUGGAACAAACUCCUCUACUUUUCGUAUUCUCACUACUUACAUUCUCUGAUUUCAUUUAGCCUACCAGUUGAUUUAGUGUGGUUGGAUGAAUUUUUUUAGGCCAUAUGGUGGUGGUAGGUGGAUAAGAUUUGGAUAUUUUAUAGUUUGAUUUCAGUGUGCAUCCCUGUGGACCAUGUUUCUUGCCAUUUUGGUGCUUGCACUGCAAUUUGGAUAUUGGAUAUCACCAGGCAUCAAGAACGGCGCUUUGCAAUCUUAUCUUGUUUGGUAUCUCUAGUGAUCUCUCCUUCGUGGUAUGGUUUCCACUUUCCUGUUACGUUCUUUUUGUAACCGUUGGGUCUUUCCAGAGCAUGAACUUCUAUUCAGUUUUCUUCCUAAUCAGCGGGUCCCUUUUCUCUUUGUCAAAACUAAUGUCGUGUGGAAGUUCUCAACAAUGAUAAUACUUUCCACUUGUGUGUUGUACUCUGCAGCCAUAAAGGUUUUAGUCUAGAUGCUUGUUUUCAUGGAUGGUCUAAAUGAUGAGAUCCCUGAUUGCCAUGGACACCUGGGAAGUACCCAAACUCAAUUUUAGAUCUUCUUAUGGCCGUAAAAGUCUUAUACUUUGGUGUUCUUGUUACUUAUCUUCUCUGCUUCAAUUUUCUGAUGUUUUAUCAUGCCACUUGAUUUUGUUUGUUUGGAUGCAUGUUUGUUGACCACAUGGUGACCGUGAGGGGAUUGUAUUUGGUAAUUUUGAAGUUUGGUUUCUGUGUGUCCUUCCCUUCUGCGCACCCUCUUUCUUACCAUUUUGGUAUUUGUGCUUGCACUGCAAUUUGGAUAUCACCAGGCUCUGGCAAGGGAGUUAUGCAAUCUGGUCUGUUAUAUCUAGUGAUCUCUCCUAUGUGGCUUGGGUUUCGCAGCAUGCACUUCAACUGUUCCCUUCUUUUUGUGCUUGCUGUCAUUGGCUCUUUCAAGAUCAGGGUCUUUCAAAAUCAGUGAAGUCUUCCUUUCAUGGAGCAGCCUUGUUUGUCUUAGUGUUAAAGUUUCCUUAGUUCAGGCUUUUGUAUUAGUAUCUAGGUCUUCGAUUCAGUUUCAUUCCCUUGUCAUAGGGGGUCCCCUUAACGCGUUUUCAGAAGUGCUGUUGAACGGAUGUUUUCAAUUGCGAUCACUCUUUCCACAAGUGCAUUUUCAGCUUUUAGUCCAGAUGCUUAUGUUUUGCGAUGAUCCAACUGAUGAGGUCUCUUAUGGGUGCGGAAAUCUGGUAAGUACUCGCUCAGUUCUGGAGAUCUCUCCCCUAUCCUUUUCUCUUCGAAACAUGUGUUAUGUUCAGAUAUUAAAUCAUUUGACGAUAUUAAAUCAUUUGAUGAGUUGCUCCAGACUGUUAGCUAUUAUGACUUAGAUAUAAAAAGAGAGCUAGAAUUUCGAUAUGAUAGUGAGUUGCCCGGGAUUCGAACCCAGAACUAGUCGGAUGGAGUAGAGCAAUUCUUCCCGUUGCUUUUACAGAACUUCCUUCUUGUAUCAACAAACUGUCGCCCAUUAAUACAGCACCAACAUUAUUUGAUUACUUUUUUUCUCCAUAAAACAUUGCCAUUUGAAGAGUCUUUACGACAAAGAGAGCAAUUCAGAGAAUCUUGAACAGAUAAAGUAAAAAACUUGACUCAUCUUUAUGUAUUUAUACCACAAAGGUAACUAUUUUUUUCUGGGUAAAAGAUCUUAUCAUGAGGUACCCUUGUAAAUCCAUUACAUAUUAUAUCAUUGUGCAAGCUGAGAAGUUUUUCAAUGAAUCUUGUUCUUCUAAAUACUCUUCUGAGCUUUGUUCUAAUUUUCUUAAUACGGUUUGAAUUGCCAUUGAUUAUAGGCAACUGUUGUUCAUUCUCUGUGUUCUUGCUAUAUCGUUGAUGUAUGUUGAGUCAAAUGUCACUUCACAGAUGGUAUGUUUCCUAAAAUGUUUACCUGAAAGGUCACUAAACAUAUAAUUCGUUCAGCCAAAUGUCACUUCACAGAUUCUCUCUGAUGGUUUCGUUACUUCGUUCUUAUCAUGUUCUAUUACCAGCUAUAAUUCGUUCCUUAUUUCAGAAAUUGUCCCUUGCUCCUUGAAAAAUGCUGUUGUCUUUGCCAUCAUUCAUCAAGUAUAGUGAUUCACUUGUUGCACUUUACAUAUGGCUGUUAUACUUUAGAUAUCAUAUGGUUAUGGAGGGGUUUUUUCCAUUUUAUCAUUUUCCCUUGUAUAUAUUUAUGGGUGUGUUCCACUUGCUUUGAUUUUCUCUGUAGCAUCAUUAGGAAACAACAUCUUGGUGAAGAGGGAUCCAACUAUGAUUUCAGGCAUCAUUCAGGUUCUUAGGAAUUCUCAUAUUUGUCCACAUGUGUUGAGGUUCUGUUAGUUCAGUCUUUUACGAGAACAGAUAAUUUUCAAUUCUGUUUUCUUCCCUAAUGACUCAAUUUGUCUUUUUCAUAACUACUGUUGUAUGGAAGUUUCUCAAUUAGGGGCUUAUUUUCACCAAUGUGUGUUGUAUUCUGCUUCCAUGAAGUUCUUAGUCCAGACGCUGAUGAGGUCGCUUGUGGUAAUGAGGUCUCUUACUGACAAGUACGUGACCAAUUUUAGAUUUUUUGAUAGUGGCGUAAAAUACUUCUUUACUUUUGUUCUUUUAGCUACUUAUCUUCUCUGCUUCCAUUUUUUUUUAUUAUCGCACUAGUUUUUUUGCUUGUAUGGAUGUGUAGGCCAUGUGGUGACUCUGUGAAGGACGUUCAGAUUUAGAAAUUCCAAAGCUUGGUUAAUCAACAUGUGAUCCUUUACCAUGCUUUGGUCUCUUUGGUGCCUUGGACUGCAAUCUGGAUAUUGUCUGCACUCGACAAAAGGGGGUUUUCAGUCUCAUCCUGGCAUCUCUAGUGAUUACUCAAGUGGUUUGGGGUUCAUCAGAUUUGCUCUUAACUGUUCCCUUCUUUAUGUUCUUGCAGCUAUCUGGGUAGUGAAUUAUUCUUUUCACGGAGCGGCUGUGUUUGUCCAUUUGUGUGGAUUUUUUUUUUUUUGAGUAUCAAGAUUUAGAUUUGGUUUUCAGCCCUAGUGGUUCCUUUGUCUUUGUCAAAACUGCUGUUGUAUGGAAGUUUCUCGACUAGGGGAUUAUUUUCUCCGGUGUGUUGUAUUGUGCUGCCAUGAUGUUCUUAGUCCAGAGGCUUAUGUUCUUUGAUGAUCCAAUUGAUGAGGUCUCCUAUGACUAUGGACACUUUAUAGGUACUCGGCCAAUUCUAAGAUCAUUUGAUAGUGGAGUAGAAUACUUUACUUUUAUUCUUCUAGCUACUCACUUAUAUUCUCUGCUUUUAUAUAUUUUUUUGUUCACACUCGGUUUUUUUGUUUGAUGGAUGUUUAGACCAUGUGAUGACACUGUUAUGGACGUUCAGAUUUGGAAAUUUUAAAGCGUGAUUAACCAACAUGUGAUCCUCUGCCACCUUUUGGUCUUUUUGGUGCUUUGCACUGCGAUCUGGAAAUUGUCUGGGCUUUGACGAAAGGGGGUUUCUAGUCUUGUCUAUGGCAUCUCUAGUGAUUACUUAAGUGGUUUGGGUUCGUCAGAUUUUGCAGCCAUUGGUACCAGGUAGUGAGUUAUUCAGCGGCCGUGUUUGUCCAUUUGUGUUUAGGUUUCUUUAGUUUUGCGUCUUUUAUGGGUAUCGAGAUUUUUGAUUCAAUUUUCUUCUCUUAUGUCUGCCUUUCCUUUAUAAAAACUACUGUUGUAUGGAAGUUGCUCGACUAAGAUAAUAUUUUUUCUAGUGUGUGGGGUGUUCUGCUGACGUGAAAUUCUUAAUCCAGACUCUGUCUUGUUCGAUGAUCCAAUUGAUGAGGCCUCCUAUGGCUAUGGACACUUGAAUAAGUACUUGGCCAAUUCUGGAUCUCUUCUUUUGAAGCGCCAUAAAGUCUCCUCUACUUUCUCGUCUUCUAGCUACAUAUAUUUUUUGUUGCCAUAAUGUUAUCACAACUUUUUUUUUUUUUUUUGGGGGGGGGGGAUUGGAUGGAUGUGUAGACUAUAUGGUGGCAGUAAUAGAGGUUAAGAUAUGGAGAUUUCAAAGGUUGAUAUCCAGUACGGUAUCUCUGCACCAUCUUGGUCCUUUUGGUACUUGCACUGCAAUCUGGAUAUGUAUUGAGUUGCUUCAGACUGUUAGCUUUUAUGUAAGGGUGGCUCGGUGCACUAAAGCUCCCGCUAUACUCAGAGUUCGGGGAAGGCUCCGACCACAAGGGUCUAUUGUACGCAACUCUACCUUGCAUUUCUGCCAAAGACUGUUUCCAAGGUUUGAACAUGGCAAUUCAUAGAAAUCUAGAACAGAUCAAGUAACAAACAUGGCUCAUCUUUUUGUGGAACAGGUCAUGUACACUCUUUAUGUAUUUAUAUCACAAAGUAGCUACUUUUUUUGUGCGUAAAAGAUCUUCUCAUGAGAUACCCUUGUAAAUCCAUUACAUAUCAGAUCAUUGCGCAAGUUGGGAAGUUUUUCAAUGAGUCAUGUUCUUCUGAGUUUUGUACUAAUUUUCUUAUAGGGUUGAAAUUGCCAUUGAUUAUAGGUAACUUUUUGUCAUUAUCCGCGUUCUUGCUAUAUUGAUGUCACUUCGCAGAUGGUAUGUUUCCUAAAAUAUCACCUAAAAUGUCAGUAACAGAUAAUUUGUUCAGCCAGAUGUCACUUCACAUCUGUCAAUAAUGGUUUCGUUACUUCGUCCUCGUCAUGUUCUAUUACCAGCUAUAAUUCAUUUAUUAUUUCAGAAACUGUUCCUUGCCCCUUGGUUUUCUUGUACUGGUGAUCGAUUAGGAACCAUGCACAAGUUAAAAGGGGAUCUUCAAAGAAGCCCCACCCAGACCGAGUUUCGACAGUUUUGGAAAGCGCUGCUGUAUUUUCCUUCAAUCAUCAUCAAGUAUAGCUCUCCAUUCACCUGUUGCACUUUACAUAUGGCUGUUAUUGUUUAUCGUAUGGUUAUAGAGGGGUUUUCCAUUUUUAUCAUUUUCCCUUGUAUAUAUUUAUAUUAUGAGUCUGUUCCACUGUGCUUUGAUUUUCUCUGUUUCAUCAUUAGGAAAUAACAUUCUGUUACUCUCUUAUGACUAUGGACUCUUGACAAGUACUUGACCAAUUUUAGAUCUUUUGAUAGUGGUGUAAAAUACUUCUUACUUUUGUUCUAUUAGCUACUUAUCUUCUCUGCUUCUGUUUUUUCGUUAUCACUCUAGUAUUUUUGGUUGUUAUCGAUGUGUAGACCGUGUGGUGACACUGUUAUGGACGUUCAGAUUUGGAAAUUUCAAAGCUUGGUUAUUAACCAACAUGUGGUCCUUUACCAUCUUUUGGUCUUUUUGAUGCUUGCACUGCAAUAUGGAUAUUGCCCAGGCUUCGACAAAAGGGGGUUUUCGGUCUCGUCUGUGGCAUCUACAGUGAUUUCUUAUGUGGUUUGGGCGUGGUGUAAAAUACUUCUUACUUUUGUUCUAUUAGCUACUUAUCUUCUUUGCUUCCGUUUUCUUGGUUAUCAGUCUAGUUUUUUUGGGUGGUUAUGGAUGUGUAGACCGUGUGUUGACACUGUUAUGGACUUUCAGAUUUGGAAAUCCUUUACCACCUUUUGGCCUUUUUUGUUGCUUGCACUGCAAUCUGGAUACUGCCCGGGCUUCGACAAAAGGGGGUUUUCAGUCUCGUCUAUGGCAUCUAUAGUGAUUACUUGUGUGGUUUGGGGUUCGUCGAUUUGCACUUAACUGUUCCCUUCUUUCUGUUCUUGCAGCCAUUGGUUACAGGCAGUAAACUAUUGAGCGGCCGUGUUUGUCAGUUUGUGUUGAGGUUUCUUUAAUUUAAGUCUUUUAUGGGUACUUGAUUCAGUUUUCUUCUCUUACGGCGGGCUCCCUUUCCUUUAUUAAAACUACUAUUGUAUGGAAGUUUCUCGACUAAGAUAAUAUUUUUCACCAGUGUGUCUGGUGUUCUGCUGCCGUGAAGUUUUUAAUCCAGACACUAUGUUCUUCGAUGAUCCAAUUGAUGAGGUCUCCUAUAUCGACACUUGAUAAGUACUUGGCCAAUUUUGGGUCUGUUCUUUUGAAACACCAUAAAGUCUCCUCUAUUCCUGGUCUUCUAGCUACAUAUAUUCUUUGCUGCCAUCAUCUUUUGGUUUCUCAACUUUUUCUUUUUGUUUUGAUGGAUGUGUAGACUAUAUGGUGACAGUAAUAGAGGUUAUGAUUUGGAGAUUUCAAAGGUUUAUAUCCCAGUGUGGUAUAUUCGUACCCUCUUGGUCUCUUUUGUCCUUGCACUGCAAUCUGCAAUCUGGAUAUCAUGGUCAGGGCUUCAACAAAAAGAGGGGGGUUUAAAUCUUGUCUAUAUGGUAUCUCUAGUGAUUUCAUAGAUGGUAUGGGUUUCGUCAGCUUUGGACUUGAUUGUGCCCUUCUUAGAUGGGGUAUGGGUUUCGUCAGCCUUUGGGUAUUACAGAGCAGUGAAUUAUUCUUUUUAAGGGGCGGCUUUCGUCCAUUUAUGUCGAGGUUUCCUUAGUUCAGGCUUUUAUGAGUUCUGACAUUUUCAACUAAAUCAGUUUUUUUUCAUUAAGUGUGUUGUGUAUUCUACUGCCAUUUUUAGUUUUUAGUCCAGGUGCUUAUUUUCUUCAAUGAUCCAAUUGAUGAGAUUCCUGAUGGUUGAUGGCUUUGGUCUGAUGGACAUCUGACAAGUACUCAAUUUUGGAUCUUUUGAAAGCCUCGUAAAAUGGUCCUCUCUUUUGGUGUUCUCACUGUGCUUUUCUUCUCUGCUUCCUUUUCUUACCCCACGUUGUGGGAUUUCACUGGGUUGUUGUUGUUGUUGUUCCUUUUCUUGUAUUACGCUAGUUUGAUUUUGUUUGUUGGAUGAUGGAUGUAUGGUUACCGUUGAGAGGAAUAAGAUCUGUGGAAGAUUUUGAAGGUUGGUGUCCAGUGUGCAUUCCUGUGCACCCUGUUUCUUGGCCAUGUUGGUGCUUGCACUACAAUCUGAAUAUUAUCAGGCUUCGAAAGAAGGCGGUUCUCAAUCUUUUCUGCCAUUUCUAGUGAAUUCCUAGGUGGUGCGGGCUUCACCUGAUUUGCGCUCAGACUGUUCCAUUCUUUUCUGUGCUUGCAGCCUCUGGGUCUUGCAGCGCCAUAGAUUCUUCUUUUCAUGGAGCGUGCAGCUUGGUCGGUCAAUUUGUGUUGAGGUUUUUUGUUGAUGCUUCUAAUUAUUAUUGAGAUCUUCAAUUCAGUUUUCUUUCCUAAUCAUAAUGGUUGCUUUCUUUGUUGUCAACACUGCUUCACUGGUGCGUAUGUUGUUGCAUAUUUGUUAUUUGUUUUUUAUUAAUGCAGAUGCUUAUGUUCUUUGGUGAUCCAACUGAUGAGAUCUCCAUGGUUAUGGACAACACAUUAUAAGUGUAUUCUAACUCAAUCGUGGAUCUUUUCCAUCCCUGUAAUGCCAUUCCUCCACUUCUCGGGUUCUCUCUACUUACCUUAUCCGAUUUCGUUUAGCCUACUAGUUGAUUUAGUUUGGUUGGAUGAAUAUUUAUAGGCCACAUGGUGAUAGUAAGAGGAUAAGAUUUGGAAAUUUUGUAGUUUGGUUUCGAUGUGCAUCCCUGUGGACCAUAGUUUCUUGCCAUUUUGGUGCUUGCACUGCAAUCUGGAUAUUGGAUAUCAGCAGGCAUCAAGAAAAGGAUUUGGCAUCUCUAGUGAUCUCUCCUUUGUGGUAGUAAGAGGAUAAGAUUUGGAAAUUUUGUAGUUUGGUUUCGAUGUGCAUCCCUGUGGACCAUGUUUCUUGCCAUUUUGGUGCUUACACUGCAAUCUGGAUAUUGGAUAUCAGCAGGCAUCAAGAAAAGGAUUUGGCAUCUCUAGUGAUCUCUCCUUUGUGGUAUGUGUUUCCAAUUACCUGUUACAUUCUUUUUGUGCAUGUUACUGUUGGGUCUUCCAGAGCAUGAACUUCAACUCAGUUUUCUUCCUAAUGAGCGGGUCCCUUUUCUCUGUCAAAACUACUGUUGUGUGGAAGUUCUCAACAAGAUAAUAUUUUCCACUAGUAUGUGUUGGUACUCUGCUGCCCUGAAGUUUUUAGUCUAGAUGCUUAUUUUCUUGGAUGAUCCAAAUGAUGAAAUCCCUGAUUGUGAUGGACACCUGAGAAGUACCCAAACACAGUUUUAGAUCAUCUGAUGGCCGUAAGAGCUCCUCUACUUUUGUGUUCUUGCUAUCUUCUCUGCUUCUAUUUUCUUACGUUUAUCAUGCCACUUGAUUUUUGUUGUUUGGAUGCAUGUUCGUAGACCACAUGGUGACCCUGAGGAGAUCAGAUUUGGUAAUUUCAAAGUUUAGUUUCAGUGUGUCCUUUCCUUGAGCACCUUGUUUUUUGCCAUUUUGGUGCUUGCGCUUGCACUGCAAUUUGGAUGUUACUAGGCACUGGCAAGGGAGUUCUGCAAUCUUUGUCUGACAUCUCUAGUGAUCUCUCCUAUGAGGCGUGGGUUACGCUGCUUGCACUUCAACUGUUCCCUUCUUUUGGUGCUUGCUGUCGUUGGCUCUUUCAAGAUCAGUGUGGUCUUCCUUUCAUGGAGCAGCCUUGUCUGUCUAAGCCUUGAAGUUUCCUUAGUUCAGGCUUUGUAUUAGUAUCUAGCUCUUCGAUUCAGCCCUGGUCAUAGAGAUUGCCUCGUUGUCAGAAGUGCUGUUAAAUGGAAGUUUUCAACUACGAUAACUUCUUCCACUAGUGCAUUUUCAGCUUUUAGUCCAGAUGCUUAGAUUUUGGGAUGAUCCAACUAAUGAGGUCUCUUAUGUGUGUGUACAUCUGUUGGAAAGAUGUUUAUACCACAUAGUAAACAGUAUUAGAAGGUUAUAUGUGGAAGUGUAAAAGUUGUGGUCUUACAUUACUUCUUUUCGUGGAGCAGCCUUUGUUUGUCGAUUACUGUUGAGGUUUCCUUAGGUUCAAGCUCCUUUGAGCGUCUGAUUUUCAGUUCGGUUCUCUGCUCUAAUCAGUAUGAUCUUUUCUCACCACUCUCUUCUCGAAGUGAUGCUCUUCUAGUAAUUAGUUUAACUGAAAAUUUUACAUGUCAGUUGUGGAUACAGUACAUGCUUAUUUUUAUUCAAUUUCUGGUUCAUUUUUUGGGUGCAGUCUUUGCAGCCAUAAUCACUACUAUUUUCAGACCAACUGUUAAGUAAAUGAAGCCUCUUUUUAUUUUUGGAGAUCUCUCCCCUAUCUUUUUUUUUUUCUGAAACAUGUGUAUUUAUGUUCAUAUAUUCAAUCAUUUGAGGAGUUGCUUCAGACUGUUAGCUAUUAUGUAAAACUUUUAAUAUAAAAAGAGAGCUCCUGCACACUUUUUUUCUCCAUAAAAUAUUGCCAUUUGAACAGUCUUUCCACCAGAGAAAGAAAGUCGUUCAUUGAAUCUUGAACAGAUCAAGUAGAAACCUUGGCUCAUCUUUUGUGUAACAGGUCAUGUACACUCUUAUGUUAUAUUUAUCAACACGAAGGUAACUAUUUUUUCUGUGUAAUAGAUCUUCUCAUGAUACCCUUGUAAAUCCAUUACAUAUCAGAUCAUCGUGCAAGUUGGGAAGUUCUUCAAUGAACUUGUUCUUCUAAAUAAUCUUGAGUUAAGCUUCAUUCUAAUUUUCUUAAUAGGUUGAAAUUGCCAUUGAUUAUAGGUAACCUUUGUUCUGUCAUUCUCCGUGAUGUUGCUUUAUCGUUGAUGUAUGUUUUGUCAAAUGUCACUUCACAGAUGCUAUACUUUGUAAAAUGUCACUAUAGAGAUAAUUUUUUCAGCAAUUAUCACUUGACAGAUCUGUCACUGAUGGUUCCGUUACUUUGUUCUCAUCAUGUUCUACUACCAGCUAUAAUUCAUUUCUUAUUUCAAAAAUUGUUCCUUGCUCCAUGGUUUUCUUGUAUUGGUGAUCGAUUAGUAAUCUUGCUCAAGUUAAAGGUAUCUUAACAAGCCCCACCCAAACCAUGUUUCAACAGUUUUGAAAAAUACUGCUGUCUUCAUUCACCUCUUGCACUUUACAUAUGACUGUUAUACUUUAGAUAUCAUAUGGUUAUAGAGAAAGUUCUCCGUUUUUAUAAUUUUCCCUUGUCUAUAUUUGAGUCUGUUCCACUGUGCUUUGAUUUUCUCUGUUGCAUCAUUAGGAAACGACAUUUUGUUAAAGAGGGAUCCGACUAUGAUUUCAGGCGUUCAGGUUCUUAGGACAGUUGAUGAUUUUGGGUAUUUACAGAAUUGGAUAGGUCUGGAUUUUUUGGUGCAGUUGUAUCCGUAAGUUCUCUGAUAUUGCUAUAUAGGUAUGGAGUAUGAGAAGAUCUGUCAGUUGCAGAGUCGAACGUCUGGCGGAAUGCUUGGCAUCCUGUGAUGGAAGUGAGACCCGAAGGGUGAGCUUACGGCGCAGGGAGUAUGUUUCUGGGUUUGCAGAUUCAUUUUGAAGUUUGACUUUGCUGUAAAUUCUCACUUUUGUUGGUUUCUUGAGGCAUCCAAGAGCUUCCUGUUUUAGUUAUGCCAAUUUCUUUCUGCUUCUACCCGAGGUAAUGAUGGUAAGUAUAAGACCAUGCAGUUUCUGUUGUUGGAUGUCAAUAAUCUUUGUAACAAAGUGAACCUCAUCUUCAUCUUUUUUUGCAUCGUCUCCCUUGAAACACUAUUCAGUGGAAGUUUCCGAGUCUUCCUGGUAGAAUUUGCUCUCUGUAUUCCAUGUUAGGCGAUUGGCUCAUUCAAAAUCACGAAGAGGUCUCCCUCCCAAGUCUUCUGGUUUUUCCUUCAUGUACCCAUAAGCUUUAAAUGGAGUACCUGUGCUAGAGUGGUGGAUUUUUAUGUGUUAUCUUCCAUCAGAAAGUAUUAGUUGCACAGUGAUAUCCACCCAGUUAGUUAGGUUCACCCAAUUAGUUAGGCUGGUUCAUGCACCAAACAUGCGAAGGGACGAGAGAUUAAGGAGUUUCUAAGAAGCAGUCAUAGUCAUUUAAAGUGGUUUUAAUAAUGUCAGAUUCCUGUUUUUUAAAGCAUUUGUUGUAUUUGCUGAUUUGGAUAUCUUACCUGUAAAAAAGCUACUGACGUGAGUGCACUAUUUUUGUAGUUGAUGAAGGUAUUAGCAUCUUGAAGUAAGGAUGCUUUGACUUUAGUUCGUCGUGGUAUUUCUUUUCUAAAUAUGGGCACUGAAUGGGGUAUUUCUGCUUUCUUUAAGCUCCAGUUGUCCAAAUUUGCCAGGGUAUUUCUCUUUUGUAAGCUCCAGUUGGCCAAUUUCGCCAGAUAACUCUGAAUGGGUACUUCUCUUCCUCUAAGCUCUGGUUGUCUAAAUUUUCCAGUCAGAGUUAUCACCUCAGAGAUGUUGCUUUGGAGCAACUGUUGGUCCAGCUUUGUUCCUCUUUUCUCAAGUCCCUGUAGCUACUUUGAUAGGGCUAGGAAUGGACAUAUUUUUUUGGCUAUACAGAAAUUUAGUUCCAUAUAAGAGGAUUUGCUCUCCGUAAGUGAUGAGAAGUUGGGAGGAUGGUACAUCGGUUGUUGUGGAGUAUGUUAAACAGAAAAGGUUCUGGUAUGAUGUGGAGCAUGUUAAAGAAAAAGGUCCUGGUUAGAUCACUUGGAUUCCUGUUUUUCCAUUGACCUGUUCUAGUCAUUUUUGCACGUUCCAAAGUAUUUGAAUAUCUUUUUGGAUUAACAUUACAAGGGCUUCUGGUUAUUUUGUGUGGGAAUGUGUUCUACUACACUUGAGAGUGUUCUAGUCACUCAGUACUAUCUAAUGUACUUUCUCCUACAAUGUGUUAUAAUUUAUUAAUCUAUGUGCAUCAUUUAAGUGUUCUAUUAUGGCGGCAGUGUCGGUGAUCGAGUUUUAUCUAUGAGUAAGAACUGGAUGUUCUCAAAACUAGAACUGGAUGUUCUCAAAAUUAUUGUCUCCUCCCACAUGUUCGGAAUGCAGUUACUGAAUAUAGGUGGUGUAUAGGGUAAUAUUCUAACGAGCAUAGGUGUGAAUUGGCUUUCUGUUUUGGGUUGUUAGAUGUAUGUUGAGUUGUAAGAUAGAAUUGAUUUUCACGUACUGGUCAAAUGUUCCUUCCAUUGCAUAAAUACCCUUGGGCAAUCUCAUAAAAAGACUAGGACCACUUGGAGCUAUGACAUUUCUACUUUUUAGCUGCUAAUGCAUCUCUGAAGUAAUGUCGUUUAAAGUCAUUUUUUUGCACUAGCGAGGGCCCAAAAGUUGUCUAUUGUCAUUUGUACUAUUUACCUGCUAUGCAUGUCUGAAGUAGUAUCUUGUCACUUGAAGUCAUAUUUUGCACCAGCCAGGGCCCGAAACUUGUCUAUCACAUGACAUCAUAUAUGGGAGAAUUUCAUUAUUUGUCCAGCACAACUAUCUCCAAAUUAAGUUGUGAGAAUGCUCCACAGUAGUCUAACACAAUGACUGAAUUUUGAUAGAUACUCGGCUCAAAAAAGCAGGAAAGUAAGUGAGAGAAAGAGAUUAGAAAAUAACAAUAUGCCGAAGUGUAACAACAAAUAUUAAUGCGUAUUAGAGAAACAAAUUCUGCGAUACCUAAAUCAUAUGACUAAGAACUAUGACAGCAUUCUACUACCUACUACCCUUCUAGCUUACUCCUCGACCUCCAUGCUUCCUAUUAAGCCUUCUUACCGCUCGAUCUCCUUGUAGUCAGCUGAAGCUAUGCUAUAUUCUGUCGAAUCACCUCCUCCUGGUUCUUCUCCGGCUUAUCUGUAGCUCUCCUAACUUCUGCUGUACCAACCUUUCACACUCAAUAGGUCUGUCUUCACACCUUCUCUUCACAUGUCUGGACCAUUAACCUUGCUUCCUUCAUCUAGUCCGCCAUGUCAGGCUGCUCCCUCCUUGUUAAUAUAGUCUACUUGUAUCCACUUUAAAGAAUUUCGCCAAAAUCUGUUACUUUUAACCUUCCCAGUCUCUUCCUCCCGUCUUCAUUUUCUUUUUGUAUAAUCCAUUCUUAUUUCCAAGUUGUUCCUUGACUUUGUUCUUUGUGUGUUUGAGUUGAAUGCAUUUUAUUGAAGUUUAUUUUGUUAGUUCUAUAUAAUCUCGCAUUGUUUCGACACCAAUAGUGAUUCCUCCUUGUGGUUUCAUUUGUCUUAUGUUGUAGUGUUGGUUUAUUUGUUUCUACAUUUUGUGUUUAGGUGACCCUUGUAACUCCGCCUGUUAAAUCAGCCGGUCCCAAGCCCGGACGAAGGAGGAGGGAAGGUGCUUAAAUUUGCAAUUAGUUUGUUCUUUUUAAUUAAUUAAUAGAAAUGUUUCUGGAGUUGCCUUUGACCGUUUCUCAUUGUUUGUCUUGACCAAUACAAAUGGUACAUGUGCUCCCUUAGUUAGUGUUGUUCCCUUUAUCUUAUGGCAUCUCUGAUUACAGUCACCACUUAUCAGGAUUGUUAGAUGAAAUGUCAAGAUGCAUUAGGGCUUGUCAGCCUGAGUGUCGGGUUCUUGCUUAUCAUGCAAUUGGUAAUUAGAAAUUGUGGCAACUUAAUUUCCUGCUUCAGUGAGAAAUUAAUUCCCAAUGUUUCUGAUUAGUUAAGGCAUUGCAGUCCUGCAGCUGUUGCGAUUUAUUUAUGAUCCACCUUAACACUGGAAAUACUGUUUCAUUAUUGGUGUCUAUAGAUGGUUUCCAACUCAAUAGUCAACUGAUUUGUGGUGAGCGUAUGUAUGUGUCUAUUCAAGAAUCAUGUGUGUGCCAUGCAACACAUGGAUGUGUGUUCAAGAAUCAUCUUUGUGCUUUUCUCUCUACGUAUUUGAUGACUCGGUAUAUAUAUAUAUCCUCAAAUGGCUGAUACUCCUCGAUUGAUCACCCGUUGCUUGUUGCGACUCUUUUUAACUGUUUGCAUUUUGUUUGUGAGUUUGUUGUGGAUGUUGCAGGUAGUGUUUGGCUGAUCAUAAGUCCAUUCAUAAGAUGCAACACUGGAUGCAAGAGUAUCCAAUACCAUGUGACUUACGGUGGGAAUGCAACAGGUUCCUCAGGAAGGUAUAUAAAAUGACGUGCUCAAAUUGUGAUAGUUUAUGGUCUUCAAAAUUCGAUUGGAAAGCGUUGGAACUUAUUCUCAGGUUCCUCAGGGAGGUAUAGAAAAUGAUGUGCUCAAAUUGUGACAUUUUGAUUAUUCUUUAGCUGAAGUGGUUAGUGAAGUUGUUUGUUUCUUUUCUUGCUUCUGCUAGGAUGUGCAUUCAUAUAGUGUUUAAAACAAAAUUUAAUUGGAAUUUGAGAAUGACAUGAUACCAUAUGUUGGGCUACUCUAAGCAAUAUCCAUGCUGUCACGUGAGGGGCAUACUCUAAGCAGUAUAUGCAGUUCGUUUAUUCUGAAAAUAUGGUCAAGUUAAUAGGUCGCAUUUCAUAUUAGAGAGAGGUAUAAAUGAAGGUGAAAUGAUGCCCUUUCAGCCUCUUUUCUGAUGCGUUAUUCAAGUGCUAUAUAUAUUAAGAUUUUACAGGUCUAAUUCAUCAAAGUAGGUUGUUUUGGGUGGAUCCUUAUGCGGAGAGCAUGUCUAGUACAUCACAUGACAUAUUACAAAAGAAGGGGAUUUUGUAUAUGCAGCAAGUGUUAUCUUUGUGAAUAUUCACAGAAACCAUCAUGCCUGGCUUUCUCCAAGGGGAGUUCUGUCUUGUCCGCUGGGACGUCUGCUGGGACUGGAUUACGUGUAAGGGAAUUGAUGUAUCAGUGUUAGUGAGGCUUGGCCAAGCAUCACGGUAGUAGAGCCAUAGGGUGCUAAAAGAACUCAACUGCACUCCGCGUAUUUCUGAAUUGUUCCAGCAUGAUUUUGUUUGUUGGAUGGAGGACAGUUCAGAGGAUUAGAUUUGGAAAAUUUCGAUGGUUGAUGCCCAGUGUCUGGUCCUGCACACCCUCAUUCUGGAUAAUCAGGCUUUGAUAGAGGGGUUUAAAUCUUGUUUCUUUGCCAGUUUUGUGCUUGCAUUGCAAUCUGAAUAUUAUCAGGCUUCGAGAGAGGUUUUUUUUCAAUCUUGUCUGUGGCAUUUUCUAGUGGGUUUCGUCAGCUUUGCAUGUAACUCUUUCCUUCAUUCCUUUGCUUGCAGCCAUUACGUAGUACAAAGCUGUGAAUUCUUCUUUUCAUGGAGUGACCUUAUUUGUCCAUAUGUGUUGAGGUUUCGUUAGUUUAGUCUUUUACGAGUAUAGAUAAUUUUCAAUUCAGUUUUCUUCCUUAAUGACUCCUUUGUCUUUGUCAACUACUGUUGUAUGGAAGUUUCUCAAUUAGGACAUUGUUUUCACCAAUGUGUGUUGUAUACUGCUGCCAUGAAGUUCUUAGGUCAGAUGCUUAUGUUCUUUGAUGAUCCAAUUGAUGAGUUCUCUUAUGGUGAUGAGGUCUCUUGCUCUCUUAUGGCUAUGUAUACCUGAUAAGUACUUGACCAAUUCCAGAUCUUUUGAUUGUGCUGUAAAAUACUGAUUUACUGUUGUUCAUUUAGCUACUUAUAUUCUCUGCUUCCAAUUUUUUCGUUAUCACACUAGUUUUUUUUGGUUGUAUGGAUGUGUAGACCAUGUGGUGACACUGUUACGGAUGUUCAGAUUUGGAAAUUUGAAAGCUCGGUUAACAAAAAUGUGAUCCUUUGCCACCUUUUGGUCUUUUUGGUGCUUGCACUGCAAUCCGGAUAUUGUCCGGGUUUUUGGUGCUUGCACUGCAAUCCGGAUAUUGUCCGGGCUUUUUGACAAAAGGAGUUUUUCAGUCUCCUCUAUGGCAUCUAGUGGUUACUUAGGUGGUUUGGGGUUCGUCAGAUUUGCUUUCAACUUUUCCCUGGUUUCUCUUCUUGCAGCCAUUGGUUACAGGGCAGUGAAUUGUUCUUUUAACGGAGCGACCGUGUUUGUCCGUUUGUGUUGAGGUUUCUUUAGGUCAAGUCUUUUAUGAGUAUUGAGAUUUUCUAUUCAGUUUUCUUCCCUAAUGGCUCCAUUUGUCUGUCAAACUACUGCUGUAUGGAAGUUUCUCAACAAGGAUAUUAUUUUUCACUGGUGCGUGUUGUGUUAUGUUUCCAUGGAGUUUUUAGUCCAGACGCUUUUGUUCUUCGAUGAUCCAAUUGAUGAGGUCUCCUAUGGCUAUGGACACCUGAUAAGUACUCAGCAGCCAAUUCUAGAUCAUUUGAUAGUGGCGUAACUUCUUUACUUUUAUUCUUCUAGCUACUUACUUUUCUUCUUUGCUUCCAUUUCUUUUUCAUUAUCUCACUAUUUUUUUUGGUUGGAUGGAUGUGUAGACCAUGUGGUGAUACUGUUAUGGAUGUUCAGAUUUGGAAAUUUCAAAGCUUGGUUUACCAACUCGUGAUCCUCUGCCACCGUUUGGUCUUUUUUGUGCUUGCAUUGCAAUAUGGAUAUUUUCCGGGCUUUAACGGAAGGGGGUUUUUAGUCUCGUCUAUGUCAUCUCUAGUGUUUACUUAGGUGGUUUGGUGUUCGUCAGAUUUGCACUUAAAUGUUCCCUUCUUUUUGUUCUUGCAGCCAUUGGUUACAGCGCAGUGAAUUAUUCUUUUCAUGGAGCGGCCGUGUUUGUCAGUUUGUGUUGAGGUUUCUUUUGUUUUAAGUCUUUUAUGAGUAUCGAGAUUUCCGGUUCAGUCAUUUCUUAUGGCUCUCUUUUCUCUAUAAAAGCUACUCUUAUAUGGAAGUUUCUCGACUAAGAUAAUAUUUUUCACCAGUGUGUGUUGUGUUCUGCUGCCGUGAAGUAUUUAAUCCAGACACUAUGUUCUUUGAUGAUCCAAUUGGUGAGGUCUCCUAUGGCUAUGGACACUUGAUAAGUACUCGGCGAACUCCGGAUCUUUUUAUUUGACAGCGCCAUAAAGGCUCCUCUACUUCUGGUCUUCUAGCUACAUAUGUUCUUUGCUGCCAUCUUCUUUUGUUUAUCAAAACAUGUUUUUUUGUUUUUGUUUUGGUGGAUGUGUGGCCUAUAUGGUGACAGUAAUAAAGGUUAUGAUUUGGUGAUUUCAAAGGUUGAUAUCCAGUAUGGUAUCUCUGUACCCUCUCGGUCUUUUUUGGUUCUUGCACUGAAAUCUGGAUAUAUUGGUCAGGGCUUCAACGAAAGGAGUUUUUAGAUUUUGUCUAUAUGGCAUCUCUAGUGAUUACUUUGAUGGUAUGGGUUUCGUCAGCUUUGGACUUGAUUGUAUCCUUCUUUUCGUGCUUGCAGCCAUUGGGUCUUACAGAGCAAUGAAUUAUUCUUUUCAUGGAGUGGCUUUCUUUGUCCAUUUAUAACGAGGUUUCCAUGGUUCAGGCUUUUAUGAGUUCUGACGUUUUCAACUUAAAUAGUUUUUUUCUUCAUUAGUGUGUUGUAUUUUGCUAUCAUUUUAUUGUUUAGUCCAGAUGCUUAUUUUCUUCAAUGAUCCAAUUGGUGAGAUUCCUGAUGGUUGAUGGUUAUGGUCUCAUGGACACCUGCCUGACAUGUACUCAAUUUUGGAUCUUUUGAAAGCCUCGUAAAAUGGUCCUCUCUUUUGGUGUUCUCGUUCCUGUUUUACGCUAGCUUGAUUUUGUUUGUUAAAUGGAUUUAUGGCGACAGUUGAGAGGAAUAAGACUGAAGAUUUUGAAGGUUGAUGUCCAGUGUGCAUUCCUAUGCAUCCUGUUUCUUGGCUAUGUUGGUGCUUGCACUACAAUCUGGAGAUUAUCAGGCUUCCAAAGGAGGCGAUUCUAAAUCUCUUCUGGCAUUUAUAGUGAAUUCCUAGGUGGUACGAGCUUCACCAGCUUUGCACUUAGACUGUUCCAUUCUCUGUGCUUGCAGCUGCUGGGUCUUACAGAGCCAUAGAUUCUUCUUUUCUUGGAGAGGCCUCGUCUCUCAAUUUUGUGUUGAGGUUUUCUGGUUGAUGCUUAUAAUGAUUAUUGAGAUCAGUUCAGUUUUCUUUCCUAAUUAGAAUGGUUGCUUUCUCCCUUGUCAACACUGCUUCACUAGUGUGUAUUUUGUUGUCAUAUUUGUUUUUUAAUAAUCCAGCUGCUUAUGUUCUUUGGUGGUCCAGCUGAUGAGAUCUCCAUGGUUGGACAAAAGCAUGAUAAGUGUAUUCAAACUUAAUCGUGGAUCUUCUAUAAUGAUUAUUGAGAUCAGUUCAGUUUUCUUUCCUAAUUAGAAUGGUUGCUUUCUCCCUUGUCAACACUGCUUCACUAGUGUGUAUUUUGUUGUCAUAUUUGUUUUUUAAUAAUCCAGCUGCUUAUGUUCUUUGGUGGUCCAGCUGAUGAGAUCUCCAUGGUUGGACAAAAGCAUGAUAAGUGUAUUCAAACUUAAUCGUGGAUCUUUUGAUGGUCCUGUAAUGCACUCCUCUACUUUUCGUGUUCUCGCUGCUUACCUUCUUUGAUUUAUUUUAGUGUACCAGUUGAUUUAGUUUGGUUGGAUGAGUUUUGACAAGAGUUGGAAAUUUAUAGUUUGGUUUCGGUGUGCAUCUUGUGGACCAUGUUUCUUGCCAUUUUGGUGCUUGCACUAUAAUCUGGGUGUUGGAUAUAUCACCAGGCAUCAAGAACAGGGCACUUUGCAAUGUUAUCUUGUUUGCGUCUCUAGUGAUCUCUCUGCGUGGUAUGGUUUUCCACUUACCUGUUGUGGUCUUUUCGUGCAUGUAACCGUGGGGUCUUCCAGAGCAUGAGCUUCAAUUCAGUUUUCUUCCAAAUCAGUGGGUCCCUUUUCUCUUUGUCAAAACUAUGUUGUGUGGAAGUUCUCAACAAUCAUAAUAUUUUCCACUAGUGUGUGUUGUACUCUGCAGCCAUCAAGUUUUUAUUCUAGAUGCUUAUUUUCUUGGAUUGAUCCAAAUGAUGAGAUCUCCAAUUUUAAGAAGUUAGAAUUUUCCAAGAUAAUGGAAUACAAUAGUAUUCUAGCACCUUGACUAAGAAUUUCGAUUUUGACAUUUUCUUCUUCACUUAUUGCCUAUAAGGGCAGUGCCAAGUGCCAAGUCUACUUGUACAACAACCAGAAGAUAUCCAGCCAGCUCACUCAUAGGGGCAUCAGUCUUAGCUCAACUCUUCGAGAAUCUGUACAUGAAUAGGCUCUUCCUUAGGAGUUCCCUUUUAUCUGCUAUGCAUCUCUGAAGUAAUAAUAUCUUGUCAUUUGAAGUCAUGUUUUGCAAUAGCAAGUGCCCAAAAGUUGUCUAUCACGUGACUGAUUUCAUUAUUUGUCCAGCACAACUAUCUCCAAAUUAAGUUGGGAGAAUGCUCCACAGAAUUCUAAUGCAGUGAUUUAUUUUCAUUGAGGUUUGCAACAAUGUACCAGCACUACGAGUCUCUUCCGUUCUCCAAUUUUAAGUUGUGAGAUUUUCCAAGAUAAUGGAAUACAAUAGUAUUCUAGCACCAUGACUAGGAAUUUCGGUUUUGACGUGUAAUUUUCUCCUUCACUUCUUUCCUGUAAGAGCACUUACACUUGUAUUACAACAUACGCAGUGCAAUUUCACAAGUGAUCCCAUAAUUGGGAUUUGGGAUGGUAUGAUGUAUGUAGGUCUUACCUCUAACUUGGAGGCACAGAAAGACAUUUCUGAUCGACUCUCGGCUUAAAAAAGGCUUAAAAAAGUGGGAAAAUGAAAGAAAGAUGGGAACAUAAUAAAAUAUACUUAACAAGUGUAACAAUAGCUAUUAAUACACAUUAAAGAAAAAGACUACUCACUAAGAAGUAUGAUAAAACUCAUUACCUAUUGCCCUUUUACCUUGCUCCUCGACCUCUAUGCUUUCCUAUUAGCCUUCUUACUCCUCGACCUUCCGGCCUGCCUAUUUAGGGUCGUGUCCUCAUUUAGGUGAAGCUAUCCAUUUGGAUUAUGUUAGGGGGUCUUUCGCUUUUGUUAGAUUUAGAGAGAUACUACAAGUCUUCCGUCCCAGAUUCCAUCGCUGCGGUCAUUUGGUUCACCAGUACUACCAAAAAGUCUCAUGCUUACGUUACUGUUAUUGAUGGUUUAAUUAUCUUGGAUUCUGGUUUCCAUUCCAAUCAUCUUAAAUGAAGCUGUUUCAUAUCCUAUCUAAUUAUAUCUUCCUAGUUCUUCUUCGGCCUAUUUCUACCUCUCCAAAUUCUACUAACUUCUGUUAUGACCACCUCUCACACUCACAAGUGCAUCCUCACAUCUCUUCUUCAUAUAUUUGAACCAUUAACCUCGCUUCAUCUUGUUCGCUACGGAGAGUACUCCCCCUUGUUAGUGUAGUCUACCUGUAUCCACUUUAAAGAAUUCCGCCAAAAUUUGUUACUUUUAACCUUGGAGGUCACUUCCCAGUCUGUUCUCCCCGUCUUCAUUUCCUUUUUUUAUAAUCCAUCUUAUUUCCAAGUUGUUCCUGGACUCUGUUCUCUGUGUUUAAGUUGAACGCAUUUUAUUGAAGUUCAUUUUGUUAGUUCGAUAUGAUCUCGCAUUGUUUCGGCACCAAUAGUGGUUCUCCUUGUGGUUUCUUUUGUACUAGUGUUGGUUUAUGUGAGAAAUAUAGGAGAAAAAUAUUAUUGAAUUGUGUCUCUACGUUAUUACACAGAGACACUAUUUAUAGACUCUAUCAUACAAUCCUUUACCAAGUAGGAUACUAUUUACUAUUUCUAUUCUUAUUCCUAUUCCUAUUCCUAUUCUAUACCUAUUCCAAUUCUAACUUAUUUGUUGCUACGUGUUCUGUUUAGGUGACUCGGAGUGACAAUUCUAUUUGAAGGAGUACUUCAGUACAAAAUAGUGUGCUUGCCCCGCUGACUGACCAUGGCAUGUAGGUAAUAAACUUGAUGAGAUGAGCGUGAAUUAUGAAAUAUUUUUCUUCCAUUGGAAAUUUACCUCUUGAGGUCACUUCCUUCAUCUUGGCCGCUACGGAGACUACUCCCACCUUAUUAGUGUAGUCUACCUGUAUCCACUUUAAAGAAUUCCGCCAAAAUUUGUUACUCUUAACCUUGGAGGUCACUUCCCAGUCUGUUCUCCCCGUCUUCAUUUCCUUUGUAUAAUCCAUCUUAUUUCCAAGUUGUUCCUGGCUCUGUUCUCUGUGUUUAAGUUGAAUUUAUUGAAGUUCAUUUUGUUAGUUCGAUAUGAUCUCGCAUUGUUUCUGCACCAAUAGUGGUUCUCCUUGUGGUUUUUUGUACUAGUGUUGGUUUAUUUGUUGCUACAUGUUUUGUUUAGGUGACUCUUGUAAUUCCGCCUGUUAAAUCAGCCAGUCCCAACGAGGACCCUACCGCCGACAUGAACUCCGAAGCCUAAUUCAGAUGUUUCUAGGGCUUGAGUAAAAUGCAAUGGGCGUGUACUUUCUACUUAUUAGUCUCGUUAUAACCAUCUGGAUCUAGAACCUUUGGACUAUCGGUUGAGCCUCUUGCUAAAGGCCAUCUCUAUCUACUGACCGGGGUUCUCUCUUGGGCAUCCACCCAGUAAAAGUAUGCCACGGUCAUAGCUACUCUUCCUAUUCCUACCUGGAUUGACAUAAGAACACGUCUUUACUUCACUUCACGUCUUUUUGGUUAGAUAAUGGACGACGAUAAGCCACCGCCCAGUAGUGCUCUCUGAGCUUGUUGCUCCGAGCCGGUAAACGGUAGGUCACAAUCUGAAUUUCAAGCCCAGACUAAGGAGGAGGGAAGGUGUUUAAGUUUGCAAUUAGUCGUCUGUUCUUUUUAAUUAAUUAAGAAAUGACCAUUUCUCCUUAUUUGUCUUGAGCAAUUCAAAUGGAACAUGUGCUCCCUUAGUGUUUCUCUCUUUAUCUUAUGGCAUCUCUGAUUACAACUUAUCAGGAAUCUAUAUAGUUCUUAGAAGAAAUGUCAAGAUAUGUGUUAGGGCCUUGUCAACCUUAGUGUCAGGUGUUCUCAGUUAUCAUGCAAUUGGUAAUUAGAAAUUGUGGCAACUUAAUUUUUAGCUUCAGUGAGAAACUAAUUCCCAAUGAGUGUGAUGAACUAAGCAUUGCAGUUUGCACCUGUUGCGAUUUAUUUAUGAUCCACAUUAACACUGUAAAUAUUGUUCCCUUUUUGGUGUCUAGCGAUGAUUUUCAACUGAAUAUUUAACUAGGGAUUCGUGUUAAGCCUGGCAGUGUGCCAUGCAACAGAUGGACGUGUCUGUUCAAGAAUCAUCAGUGUGCUUCUCUCGACGUAGUAGAUAGCCCGAUAUAUAUAUAUAUAUAUAUAUAUAUAUAUAUAUAUCCUCAAACGGCUGAUACUCAUUGAUUGAUAACCCUUUGCAAGCUGAUACUUAACUCUGUUUUGUUUGUGAGGUUGUUCAUGGAUGCUGCAGGUAGUGUUUGGCUGAUAAGUCUGUUCGUGCAAGUUCCUGUGUCAAACAAUGUUACAGCUGUGAGAUGCAACACUGGAUGCAAGAGCUCCCUAAUACCAUAUGACUUACUGUGGGAGUGCAACAGGUAAUUUAAGAACCGGUCUAAUUCAUCAAAAUAGCUUAUUUUGGGUUGAUCCUUAUAUGGAGAGCAUGCCUAAUAUCCACAUGAUGUAUUACCAAAAAACAACAUUGCUGUCUUUGUGAAUAUCAACAGAAACCAUCCUGGCUGGCUUUCUCCAAGGGUGUAGUUCUGUCUUGUCUGCUGGCACCGAACUACAUGUGGGGGAUCAAUCGAUGUAUCAGUGUUAGUGAGGCUUGGUUAAGCAUCACGGUACCAGAGCCACAGGGCGCUAAAAGAGCUGAACUGCACUCCACACAUUUCUGAAUUGUUCUCGUGGAGUUCAUUGACGUGAUGUGAUUUUUGGCAUUCCAUUGGUAAGGCCCACUCAAGCUGGCAAGGACAGAGAGUUGACAGCAAUAUCAAUCAGAUUUGGAAGAUCAUUUUCCCACUUGCAGUAUGUAGAAGAGAGUACGUCGGGAAAUGAGUUGUGAAGAUGUUUUGAUGGGGAAAGCCAAAACAAUAUCUUUUGUGAAAUACAAAUGUAUAUAAAACUUACAUUUCUGGUGUUGGGCCGUAUCAAGGGUACUAAGUAAUAAUAUUAGCUCAAGUUAUCAAAAAGUUGGCUCAUAUCAUCAUAUGCAUUCUUGCAACUAUAAUGGUCUUAUUUGAAUGACCAUGUGGUGGAUGUGCAAGAGUACUUCAGUACAAAAUAGUGUUACUCGCCCUGCUAACCGACCAUGGCAUGUUGGUAAUAAACUUGAUAAGAUUACUGUGAAUUAUGAAUUGUUUUCGAGAUUCUCCUCCAUUGGAAAUUUACCUCUUGAAGUUGUUGCAAGGUUUGAGUUGGUACAAGCUUUCUUUGUUACUCAUUGAUUACUAAGUUGUCCUAGGUUCCCUUUCAGGUGAUCUUGUGUUAAAUUCCCUCACAAACUGAAACUUGUACCAUUGAGAACUAUCUAUUGUGCUUUCUCCUACAUUGUGUGGUAUUUUGUUAAUAGAUGUGCCUUGCAUUUUAUGAAGAAUGAGUGUUCUAUUAGGGCGGCAGUGUCAGUGGUCGAGUUUUAAUUAUGAGUAAGAACUGAAUGUUCUCAAAAUUAUUGUCUCCUCUCACAAUGCUUAUUUGGUUUUUGAUUUGGGAUUGGUAUUGUGGAUUAGUAUCUUGGAUGUGAUAAAGCUUGAGUUCAGGGUAAAAACAUGGACUAAUGGAAGUUUAACCCCGCAAGAAGCACUUGAUGAAGCAUCUCGAACUUUGGUAGAUGCGAGGACAGGGAACUACCAAGGCUUCAUGUGUGAAGUUAUGGAGCUGGUGCAAAAUAUUGAUUUCAGGGUACAUAUAGUUCUUUGUGCAGUUACUUUGUAGCUCUAGAACUGGAGAAUCUGCUUUCUGGAUAUUAUAUAUAUUUUUAGUUGAAGGUGCUAUGAAAUUAUGGAGUGCACUUCAUGGUAUAAAAUGUAUGUUGAGUUGCAAGAUGCGAUUGACAUUAUUACUUUUUAUCUGCUAUGCAUCUCUGAAGUAAUAUCUUGUCAUUUGAAGUCAUGUUUUGCACUAGCGUGGGCCCAAAAAUUGUCUUGACAUAUGUAGCUUUUAGCUGUUAUGCAUCUCCCAAGUAGUAUCUUGUCUUUUGAAGUCAUGUUUUGCAUUAGGAGUCCGGAAUCUAUUUGAGAUAAGAGAUAAA